UAAAAUGAAGAUAGAGAGAGAGGGAGCAGUGGAGAGAAAAAGUGGUGGAAAAACAGUGGUGAAAACAGGUACAGUGGAGUAAAACAGGUAUAGAGAGAAAGGCAGUGGAGAAAAAACAGAUAGAGAGGCAGUGGAGAAAAAAACAGAUAGAGAGGCUGUGGAGAAUAUACAGAGAGAGGCUGUGGAGAAUAUACAGAGAGAGGCUGUGGAGAAUAUACAGAGAGAGGCUGUGGAGAAUAUACAGAGAGGCAGUGGAGAAUAUACAGAGAGGCAGUGGAGAAAAACAGAUAGAGAGGCUGUGGAGAAAAACAGAUAGAGAGGCAGUGGAGAAUAUAGAUAGAGAGGCUGUGGAGAAUAUACAGAGAGGCAGUGGAGAAUAUACAGAGAGGCAGUGGAGAAAAACAGAUAGAGAGGCUGUGGAGAAAAACAGAGAGAGGCAGUGGAGAAAAACAGAUAGAGAGGCAGUGGAGAA